GGGUCAGUAGGUUGGUCGUGCCACCGGUACGUACUGGUCUCACUGAUUCCUCCUUCCUGAAGAACCGUAAUGCCAUUAAUUUGGUGUUGCGGGGAAACAGGACUGUUACUUUGAAAAAAUUAGAGUGUUUAAAGCAAGCUGACGCUUGAAUACAUUAGCAUGGAAUAAUGAAUUAGGACGAUCGAUCCUAUUUUGUUGGUUUCUAGGAUUGACGUA
rnacentral:rRNA from 1 species